rnacentral:rRNA from 1 species
GGAUGGGUCUGCGGCCUAUCAGGUAGUAGUGGGUGUAAUGUACCUACUAGCCUACGACGCGUACGGGUUGUGAGAGCAAGAGCCCGGAGAUGGAUUCUGAGACAUGAAUCCAGGCCCUACGGGGCGCAGCAGGCGCGAAAACUUUACAAUGCGGGAAACCGUGAUAAGGGGACACCGAGUGCCAGCAUCCUAUGCUGGCUGUCCGGGUGUGUAAAAUACACCUGUUAGCAAGGGCCGGGCGAGACCGGUGCCAGCCGCCGCGGUAACACCGGCGGCCCGAGUGGUGAUCGUGAUUAUUGGGUCUAAAGGGUCCGUAGCCGGUUUGGUCAGUCCUCCGGGAAAUCUGACAGCUUAACUGUUAGGCUUUCGGAGGAUACUCCCAGACUUGGAACCGGGAGAGGUAAGAGGUACUACAGGGGUAGGAGUGAAUUCUUGUAAUCCCUGUGGGACCACCUGUGGCGAAGGCGUCUUACCAGAACGCGUUCGACGGUGAGGGACGAAAGCUGGGGGCGCGAACCGGAUUAGAUACCCGGGUAGUCCCAGCCGUAAACGAUGCUCGCUAGGUG